AGACCAGUCAUCUACAGACAGAGAGGUAUAUUACUAUCACAACAUAUAGACCAGUCAUCUACAGACAGAGAGGUAUAUUACUAUCACAACACAUAGACCAGUCAUCUACAGACAACAUAUAGACCAGUCAUCUACAGACAGAGAGGUAUAUUACUAUCACAACAUAUAGACCAGUCACCUACAUACAGAGAGGUAUAUUACUAUCACAACAUAUAGACCAGUCAUCUACAGACAGAGAGGUAUACUACUAUCACAACAUAUAGACCAGUCAUCUACAGACAGAGAGGUAUAUUACUAUCACAACACAUAGACCAGUCAUCUACAGACAACAUAUAAACCAGUCAUCUACAGACAG
ensembl:lncRNA